GAUGAACGCUAGCUACAGGCUUAACACAUGCAAGUCGAGGGGCAGCGGGUUGAAAGCUUGCUUUCAAUGCCGGCGACCGGCGCACGGGUGCGUAACGCGUAUCAAACCUGCCUCAUACUCGGGGAUAGCCUUGCGAAAGUAAGAUUAAUACCCGAUGUUGUUGCUUUCUCGCAUGGGAGAGUAACCAAAGAUUUAUCGGUAUGAGAUGGUGAUGCGUCCGAUUAGGUAGUAGGCGGGGUAACGGCCCACCUAGCCUUCGAUCGGUAGGGGUUCUGAGAGGAAGGUCCCCCACACUGGAACUGAGACACGGUCCAGACUCCUACGGGAGGCAGCAGUGAGGAAUAUUGGUCAAUGGGCGAGAGCCUGAACCAGCCAAGUAGCGUGCAGGAUGACGGCCCUCCGGGUUGUAAACUGCUUUUAGUUGGGAAUAAAAAAGGGACUUGUCCCUUCUUGUAUGUACCUUCAGAAAAAGGACCGGCUAAUUCCGUGCCAGCAGCCGCGGUAAUACGGAAGGUCCAGGCGUUAUCCGGAUUUAUUGGGUUUAAAGGGAGCGUAGGCGGAUUGUUAAGUCAGCGGUUAAAGGGUGUGGCUCAACCAUGCAUUGCCGUUGAAACUGGCGAUCUUGAGUGCAGACAGGGAUGCCGGAAUUCGUGGUGUAGCGGUGAAAUGCUUAGAUAUCACGAAGAACUCCGAUCGCGAAGGCAGGUGUCCGGGCUGCAACUGACGCUGAGGCUCGAAAGUGUGGGUAUCAAACAGG
rnacentral:rRNA from 1 species